AUUGAACGCUGGCGGCAGGCUUAACACAUGCAAGUCGAGCGGGGGAAGGUAGCUUGCUACCGGACCUAGCGGCGGACGGGUGAGUAAUGCUUAGGAAUCUGCCUAUUAGUGGGGGACAACAUCUCGAAAGGGAUGCUAAUACCGCAUACGUCCUACGGGAGAAAGCAGGGGAUCUUCGGACCUUGCGCUAAUAGAUGAGCCUAAGUCGGAUUAGCUAGUUGGUGGGGUAAAGGCCUACCAAGGCGACGAUCUGUAGCGGGUCUGGGAGGAUGAUCCGCCACACUGGGAGUGGGACACGGCACAGAGUCCUACGGGAGGCAGCAGUGGGGAAUAUUGGACAAUGGGGGGAACCCUGAUCCAGCCAUGCCGCGUGUGUGAAGAAGGCCUUAUGGUUGUAAAGCACUUUAAGCGAGGAGGAGGCUACUUUAGUUAAUACCUAGGGAUAGUGGACGUUACUCGCAGAAUAAGCACCGGCUAACUCUGUGCCAGCCGCCGCGGUAA
rnacentral:rRNA from 1 species